rnacentral:rRNA from 1 species
GCGUAAGCGCGCGCAGGUGGUUUCUUAAGUCUGAUGUGAAAGCCCACGGCUCAACCGUGGAGGGUCAUUGGAAACUGGGAGACUUGAGUGCAGAAGAGGAAAGUGGAAUUCCAUGUGUAGCGGUGAAAUGCGUAGAGAUAUGGAGGAACACCAGUGGCGAAGGCGACUUUCUGGUCUGUAACUGACACUGAGGCGCGAAAGCGUGGGGAGCAAACAGGAUUAGAUACCCUGGUAGUCCACGCCGUAAACGAUGAGUGCUAAGUGUUAGAGGGUUUCCGCCCUUUACUGCUGAAGUUAACGCAUUAAGCACUCCGCCUGGGGAGUACAGCCGCAAGGCUGAACCUCAAAGGAAUUGACGGGGGCCCG